UCAUCUUCGUGAUGACUGAGGAGCCACUGAAAAUAGCUUUCAAGAUGUUGAAGCACGAGCAAGGUGCCACACUUUAGUCUAGCAGUCUGAUGUUCGAAUAGAGGCGAUCAUCUCGGGGUACGGUUACUUUGACUUGUGUGUUACAAAAGUUCUCCGAAGUGACUCACCGGUCAAACACUCUGAUGGCCUUUCCUCCGUGAGCAGACUUGCCAUUCCCCCGGACCCACCUGCCAGCCACCGCCAAAAGGCACCUGCACCAGCAAAGAGACAGGAAAACAAGAGCUAGUGUUCCAUGACAGCAGCCAACUUUUUCCAUGCUCCCUGAAACGAUUCCCCUCACCCUCCAU
rnacentral:lncRNA from 1 species